rnacentral:rRNA from 1 species
GACGAACGCUGGCGGCGUGCUUAACACAUGCGAGUCGAACGGAAAGGCCCUGCUUUUGUGGGGUGCUCGAGUGGCGAACGGGUGAGUAACACGUGAGUAACCUGCCCUUGACUUUGGGAUAACUUCAGGAAACUGGGGCUAAUACCGGAUAGGAGCUCCUGCUGCAUGGUGGGGGUUGGAAAGUUUCGGCGGUUGGGGAUGGGCUCGCGGCUUAUCAGCUUGUUGGUGGGGUAGUGGCUUACCAAGGCUUUGACGGGUAGCCGGCCUGAGAGGGUGACCGGCCACAUUGGGACUGAGAUACGGCCCAGACUCCUACGGGAGGCAGCAGUGGGGAAUAUUGCACAAUGGGCGGAAGCCUGAUGCAGCAACGCCGCGUGCGGGAUGACGGCCUUCGGGUUGUAAACCGCUUUCGCCUGUGACGAAGCGUGAGUGACGGUAAUGGGUAAAGAAGCACCGGCUAACUACGUG